rnacentral:tRNA from 1 species
GUCCCCAUCGUCUAGAGGCCUGGGACACUGCCCUUUCACGGCGGCAACAGGGGUUCGAAUCCCCUAGGGGACGCCA